GAUGAACGCUGGCGGCGUGCCUAAUACAUGCAAGUCGAGCGAACAGACGAGGAUCUUGCUCCUCUGACGUUAGCGGCGGACGGGUGAGUAACACGUGGAUAACCUACCUAUAAGACUGGGAUAACGUCGGGAAACCGGAGCUAAUACCGGAUAAUAUAUUGAACCGCAUGGUUCAAUAGUGAAAUACGGUUUUUCUGUCACUUAUAGAUGGAUCCGCGCCGCAUUAGCUAGUUGGUAAGGUAACGGCUUACCAAGGCAACGAUGCGUAGCCGACCUGAGAGGGUGAUCGGCCACACUGGAACUGAGACACGGUCCAGACUACUAAGGGAGGGAGCAGUAGGGAAUGGUCCGCAAUGGGCGGAAGCCUGACGGAGCAACGCCGCGUGAGUGAUGAAGGUCUUCGGAUCGUAAAAAUCUGUUAUUAGGGAAGAACAAAUGUGUAAGUAAAUAUGCCCGUAUUGACGGUACCUAAAGAGAAAGCAACGGCUAACUACGUG
rnacentral:rRNA from 1 species